rfam:Rivularia sp. PCC 7116, complete genome.
UAACUGAAUAAUUAACAGCCAGAGACAGCAGGUGUUUUAAUAAAAGCUUAAUUUCCUGCCUAGGUUUACUCAUCAUUUGCUUUGCUUUUUCACCUCCAGUAGUGAGAUGACAGACGGCAAAAGAGAUUUAUUUGUAAAAGCGUAGAGAAACGUUUUUGUAGAUAUCAAAACCUAGAUAAAUCUUGGAUAAACCCUGGCUUUUACAGUCAGGGUUUUGUUGUUUUAAA